GGAGAGUUUGAUCCUGGCUCAGGAUGAACGCUGGCGGCGUGCCUAAUACAUGCAAGUCGAACGGAAAAUUCUUGGUACUUGUAUCGAGAGUUUUUAGUGGCGAACGGGUGAGUAACGCGUUGGUGACCUACCCCAAAGUGGGGGAUAACAGAUCGAAAGGUCUGCUAAUACCUCAUGUUGUCAUCGAGUUUAGAAAUCGAUGAUCAAAGGAGCAAUCCGCUUUGGGAGGGGCCUGCGUCCCAUCAGCUAGUUGGUAGGGUAAUGGCCUACCAAGGCGUCGACGGGUAAGGGACCUGAGAGGGUGGCCCCUCACAAUGGAACUGAAACACGGUCCAUACACCUACGGGUGGCAGCAGUAGGGAAUAUUGCACAAUGGGCGAAAGCCUGAUGCAGCAACGCCGCGUGUACGAUGAAGGCCUUCGGGUCGUAAAGUACUUUUCAGGGAGAUGAGAAAGGACAGUAUCCCUGGAAUAAGUCUCGGCUAACUACGUGCCAGCAGCCGCGGUAAAACGUAGGAGGCGAGCGUUAUCCGGAUUUACUGGGUGUAAAGCGCGUGCAGGCGGUUUGAUAAGUUGGAUGUGAAAGCUCCUGGCUCAACUGGGAGAGGUCGUUCAAAACUAUCAGACUAGAGAGUGGUAGAGGAAGAUGGAAUUCCCGGUGUAGUGGUGAAAUGCGUAGAUAUCGGGAGGAACACCAGUGGCGAAGGCGGUCUUCUGGACCAUUUCUGACGCUCAGACGCGAAAGCUAGGGUAGCAAACGGGAUUAGAGACCCCGGUAGUCCUAGCAGUAAACGAUGUGAACUUGGCGUCGGUGGUGUAAAAACCAUCGGUGCCGAAGCUAACGCGAUAAGUUCACCACCUGGGAACUACGGCCGCAAGGUUAAAACUCAAAGGAAUNNNNNNNNNNNNNNNNNNNNNNNNNNNNNNNNNNNNCAAUGGCCGGUACAAUGGGUUGCUAAGCCGCGAGGUAGAGCCAAUCCCCAAAGCCGGUCUCAGUUCAGAUCGCAGGCUGCAACUCGCCUGCGUGAAGUUGGAGUUGCUAGUAAACGCGCGUCAGCUAUAGUGCGUUGAAUACGUUCCCGGGGAUUGUACACACCGCCCGUCACGUCAUGGGAGCUGGCAACACCUGAAGCCAGUAGCCUAACCGCAAGGAGGGCGCUGUCGAAGGUGGGGUUGGUGACUGGGACGAAGUCGUAACAAGGUAGGAGUACCGGAAGGUGCGCCUGGAUCACCUCCUUUCUA
rnacentral:rRNA from 1 species